rnacentral:rRNA from 1 species
CCUACGGGGGGCAGCAGUGGGGAAUAUUGCACAAUGGGGGAAACCCUGAUGCAGCGACGCCGCGUGAGUGAAGAAGCAUCUCGGUGCGUAAAGCUCUAUCAGCAGGGAAGAAAAUGACGGUACCUGACCAAGAAGCCCCGGCUAACUACGUGCCAGCAGCCGCGGUAAUACGUAGGGGGCAAGCGUUAUCCGGAUUUACUGGGUGUAAAGGGAGCGUAGACGGCAGCACAAGUCUGGAGUGAAAUCCCGGGGCCUAACCCCGGAACUGCUUUGGAAACUGUGUGGCUGGAGUGCAGGAGGGGUAAGCGGAAUUCCUAGUGUAGCGGUGAAAUGCGUAGAUAUUAGGAGGAACACCGGUGGCGAAGGCGGCUUACUGGACUGUAACUGACGUUGAGGCUCGAAGGCGUGGGGAGCAAACAGGAUUAGAUACCCGAGUAGUC